CAACGGAUAUCUCGCGUCUCGCAUCGAUGAAGAACGUAGCGAAAUGCGAUACUUGGUGUGAAUUGCAGAAUCCCGUUAACCAUCGAGUCUUUGAACGCAAGUUGCGCCCAAAGCCAUUAGGCCGAGGCACGUCUGCCUGGGCGUCACGUAUCGCGUCGCCACCCC
rnacentral:rRNA from 1 species